rnacentral:rRNA from 1 species
AUUGAACGCUGGCGGCAGGCCUAACACAUGCAAGUUGAGCGGAUGACGGGAGCUUGCGCCUUGAUUCAGCGGCGGACGGGUGAGUAAUGCCUAGGAAUCUGCCUGGUAGUGGGGGACAACGUUUCGAAAGGAACGCUAAUACCGCAUACGUCCUACGGGAGAAAGCAGGGGACCUUCGGGCCUUGCGCUAUCAGAUGAGCCUAGGUCGGAUUAGCUAGUAGGUGAGGUAAUGGCUCACCUAGGCGACGAUCCGUAACUGGUCUGAGAGGAUGAUCAGUCACACUGGAACUGAGACACGGUCCAGACUCCUACGGGAGGCAGCAGUGGGGAAUAUUGGACAAUGGGCGAAAGCCUGAUCCAGCCAUGCCGCGUGUGUGAAGAAGGUCUUCGGAUUGUAAAGCACCUUAAGUUGGGAGGAAGGGCAGUAAGUUAAUACCUUGCUGUUUUGACGUUACCGACAGAAUAAGCACCGGCUAACUCUGUGCCAGCAGCCGCCGUAAUAC